AAAGCGAGCGGCGGAUGGGUGAGUAACACGUGGGGAACCUGCCCCUAAGUCUGGGAUACCAUUUGGAAACAGGUGCUAAUACCGGAUAAUAAAGCAGAUCGCAUGAUCAGCUUUUGAAAGGCGGCGUAAGCUGUCGCUAAGGGAUGGCCCCGCGGUGCAUUAGCUAGUUGGUAAGGUAACGGCUUACCAAGGCGACGAUGCAUAGCCGAGUUGAGAGACUGAUCGGCCACAUUGGGACUGAGACACGGCCCAAACUCCUACGGGAGGCAGCAGUAGGGAAUCUUCCACAAUGGACGCAAGUCUGAUGGAGCAACGCCGCGUGAGUGAAGAAGGUUUUCGGAUCGUAAAGCUCUGUUGUUGGUGAAGAAGGAUAGAGGUAGUAACUGGCCUUUAUUUGACGGUAAUCAACCAGAAAGUCACGGCUAACUACGUGCCAGCAGCCGCGGUAAUACGUAGGUGGCAAGCGUUGUCCGGAUUUAUUGGGCGUAAAGCGAGCGCAGGCGGAAAAAUAAGUCUAAUGUGAAAGCCCUCGGCUUAACCGAGGAACUGCAUCGGAAACUGUUUUUCUUGAGUGCAGAAGAGGAGAGUGGAACUCCAUGUGUAGCGGUGGAAUGCGUAGAUAUAUGGAAGAACACCAGUGGCGAAGGCGGCUCUCUGGUCUGCAACUGACGCUGAGGCUCGAAAGCAUGGGUAGCGAACAGGAUUAGAUACCCUGGUAGUCCAUGCCGUAAACGAUGAGUGCUAAGCGUUGGGAGGUUUUCCGCCUCUCAGUGCUGCAGCUAACGCAAUUAAGCACUCCG
rnacentral:rRNA from 1 species